GACGAACGCUGGCGGCGUGCUUGACACAUGCAAGUCGAACGGAAAGGCCCUGCUUUUGUGGGGUGCUCGAGUGGCGAACGGGUGAGUAACACGUGAGUAACCUGCCCUUGACUUUGGGAUAACUUCAGGAAACUGGGGCUAAUACCGGAUAGGAGCUCCUGCUGCAUGGUGGGGGUUGGAAAGUUUCGGCGGUUGGGGAUGGACUCGCGGCUUAUCAGCUUGUUGGUGGGGUAGUGGCUUACCAAGGCUUUGACGGGUAGCCGGCCUGAGAGGGUGACCGGCCACAUUGGGACUGAGAUCGGGCCCAGACUCCUACGGGAGGCAGGAGUGGGGAAUAUUGCACAAUGGGCGGAAGCCUGAUGCAGCAACGCCGCGUGCGGGAUGACGGCCUUCGGGUUGUAACCCGCUUUCGCCUGUGACGAAGCGUGAGUGACGGUAAUGGGUAAAGAAGCACCGGCUAACUACGUG
rnacentral:rRNA from 1 species